UCCUACGGGGGGCAGCAGUGGGGAAUAUUGCACAAUGGGGGAAACCCUGAUGCAGCGACGCCGCGUGAGUGAAGAAGUAUUUCGGUAUGUAAAGCUCUAUCAGCAGGGAAGAUAAUGACGGUACCUGACUAAGAAGCCCCGGCUAACUACGUGCCAGCAGCCGCGGUAAUACGUAGGUGGCAAGCGUUGUCCGGAUUUACUGGGUGUAAAGGGCGUGCAGCCGGAGAGACAAGUCAGAUGUGAAAUCCACGGGCUCAACCCGUGAACUGCAUUUGAAACUGUUUCCCUUGAGUGUCGGAGAGGUA
rnacentral:rRNA from 1 species